AAGAAAUUAACCCUACGCUACUCUCUUUCGUUCAUUUAUCAUCAUCUUCUUCUCUGCUUUAGAAUCCUCAAGAAGAAGGAGAAUGCUGGCCGAUUUUGAAGGUGUGGAAGGGUUAAAUCUCCUGUCAGAGAUUGCAUCGAUUGCUGCUACUGAUGAUCGUUUUUGGGAUUUGGCAACUGCUUCUGCUGCUACUGCUUCUCUGAGUCCGAGUACCAUGGACAGAGUUCCCAAGAAGAAGCUUCGAUCUUGCAUGAAAGUUAGAAACUCAAGCCCCAAGUUCAAGAAGCAGAGAGUGAUGAAGAAGAAUGUGGAAUGUAGUUCUUUUGCUAAGAAGACGAAGCCUACUUGGCGUUUGCUUCCCAAAUCACCGCUCUGUUUUACGCUUAUUAGGGCUAUGUGACUUCUUUUCAAGUACUGUCAUAGGAACAAUUGAGAUUAGUUAUUAUUUUAAUUUUAGGGUUCUUCAGAACUUAACUAUGGUUGAUUUAAAGUAGGUUAACAAUUUGUUAAUUUUUUUUCCCUCAAAGUUGUAUAUGAAUCAAAUUUAAGAAUUGCAAUUGCAAUCGAUAGGUCUACUGUAGCCCACUGCAACGUCAAUUAUAUAAAGAAUUAAAAGUUAGGAUGGCAAGAAUUAUUUUUGAGUUGGGU
rnacentral:misc_RNA from 1 species